rnacentral:lncRNA from 1 species
GUGCGGCUCCUGCGGGUCACCACGCCCGGGGCUUGCGGCUUCCUGCUGGGCCCCGGCUCCCCUGCCCGGCCCGCCCGGCCUCUGCCUGGCUCCGUGCGCCGCGUCCCCUCGAGCUUGCACCGCGACUCCUGCCCGCACGUGCCGGGGGUGAUUGGCGCGUGUGCGGGCCUCUCGGCCUGGCCGGGGCACCCGGCGCCUUGGCUGCGCUUCGCCGUCGUCGCGGUCGAGCCGCUCAGGAGCGCGGGAAAGCCCUUGGCGGUUAACGUGCCGCUCGGCUCCAGGGGCCCUGGGCCCUUCUCCGCUCCUCCCGGGCCUUGCAACGCCGCGUGUUGCUCAGGAGCAGGCCCGCACGCGAGGGGCGGUCUGUGUUCUCACCUCGUCUUGGCGUCGCCCUGGGGAGAUGGCUCGUGCGGGGGCUCCGGGCUCCCCGGGUCCCCGGGGCUGUGAGUCCACUGAGGCGCCGUCGGCAGCGCUGCCCGUGUCCGCCUCGGUGGUCGUGAGCCCCAGACCUCGCUGUGACUCGCAGACCCCCGUCUGCACACCCCGGCCCCGGCACCACGGGAAAUGAUGAUCCUCCUUGCUUUGCUCUUGCUCGUGGACCUGCCGAGGGUGGAGACAAAUGUCACCGUGUCAAGAACAGAGGGCCUGCUGAGGUGUCACGUUUGCGAGAAGGAGCAUAGUUUCAAAUGCCGGAAUCCAACAGAAUGUCCGGCGGGUACACACUUUUGUGCCUCUAUUGCCAUGAGAAUAACUAAUCAAAAGUCCCGUUUAAAAAAAAUUGGAGUGAAAAAAAAAAAGUUGGAGAGCAAGAUCCUGUGACAGGACUGGAAGGAAGCAGGUGGCCGAGGAGACCAGCUUGCGCAGGACCAGUACCGCCCCGGGGCCGACCCCCAGGAGCGGGACAAGAGGAAAUAGUGGGUGUAUUUGUGUCCAUUUUUAUUUUGCUGAGCGUUUACUUAAGUACCCGGGAGAGGGAGAGGGUGAGGGAGGGGGAGAAAGCUCAGGCGGCGCGUGCACCUGGGCAGGGCGCAGGGAGAGAGCCCCAAGCCGACUCUGCUGAGCCUGGAGCCCCACACGGGGCCCGACCUCUCGACGCCGAGAUCAGGAGCUGAGUCGAAACAGAGUGAGACGCUCAACCGUCUGAGCCGCCAGGCGGCCUGACCUGUACUCAUUUUUGAAUGAACGACGUGUUAACGAUGUCCCCUGUCCCUCGGAGAGUAGCUUUUACGCGACAGCCACCGAGUAGGGCCGUGGGUUGCCGUAUGUUCUGGAAGGAACGCGUGUGCGGGAAGAUGUGUGGAGACCAUCGCUCGGUCGCGUGUGAAUCCCCCAGGAGCCUCUGGCCACACGAA